rnacentral:lncRNA from 1 species
GUUGGUUUUAAACAUGAUUAGUAGGAAGUAUAUAUACUUAAUCAUAACUGUUUUUCAGGAGAAGUGACAUUUCAGAUCUAGAUUCACAAAAAUCUCAAAAAAUUUCUCUCAAACUUUUUCCAAAUUUCUUCAAGCAUAAGCAAUUUCUAUUGAUCCAUUCAUCAUCCUGAGGCACUAUUGAGAGGAUUUGGACGUGGAAGCAGAGGAAAUCGUGGCAUAUUGAGCUAUGUGCAAAGAUUGA